AUAAAUAAACGAAGUGAAUUGAAAUAUCUUAUUAGCUUCAGGAAUAGAAAUCAAACGAGAUUCUAUGAUUAGUGUGAAUGAAAGUAGAAAAGCCUAAA
rnacentral:rRNA from 1 species